UACGGGGGGGGUAAGCGUUGUUCGGAAUUACUGGGCGUAAAGGGUCUGUAGGUGGCUUGCUAAGUCAGACGUGAAAUCCCUCAGCUUAACUGGGGAACUGCGUCUGAUACUGGCAAGCUUGAGUGCAGGAGAGGAGCGCGGAAUUCCAGGUGUAGCGGUGAAAUGCGUAGAUAUCUGGAGGAACACCGGUGGCGAAGGCGGCGUUCUGGACUGCAACUGACACUGAGAGACGAAAGCCAGGGGAGCAAACGGG
rnacentral:rRNA from 1 species